rnacentral:lncRNA from 1 species
AGCAGCCGAGUUCGCGCCGCCGGUAGGUGCUGCCAUGCCAGGGGGCGGGAUCGUGGAGCGCCUCGCAGAACCGCACGAAAGCAAAAACAAAGCCAUCUCUCCGGAGCAGAAAUAGAACAGACGUGGCCGGGGAAAGCCAAAUAUUUCCUGCCGUCCUGGUGAACACAAUCGAGCAAGGCAGUGAAGCAAACAUCAUUAGGUGGCUGGACUCAGACACAUCACGCUCCAGUUUGGGUUCCAAGGUGCUUCUCUCUGGAUUUUCACCUGCCUUGCCAAAAAUGAUUGAUUACGCUGGGCCAACUGGGUGUCCGGCAAUACCCAACAAAUGACUUUGGCCCCUAACAGCAGGUCUUGGCCAGACAGAAAUCAAUAUUUCACCAUUAAAAUCUAUCAAAGAAGAGUUAAGGCACCAUCUGUCCCUGCCGCCUCUCUAUGGUGUGUGAACAUUAAAUCCGACACUUGUACUACAUGGGUAAUCAAUAUAUAGUGGUUCACAGAUCAUUUGUGGUUCCCUUUUAGCAGUGAUGGAUGUCUGGAAUCGUUGUGAUUCAUUUUGUCAGACCAUUAAACAAGAUUCUGUCCA